rnacentral:rRNA from 1 species
UACGUAGGGCGCAAGCGUUGUCCGGAAUUAUUGGGCGUAAAGAGCUCGUAGGCGGCCUGUCGCGUCUGCUGUGAAAUCCCGGGGCUUAACCCCGGGCGUGCAGUGGAUACGGGCUGGCUGGAGGCAGGCAGGGGAGAACGGAAUUCCCGGUGUAGCGGUGAAAUGCGCAGAUAUCGGGAGGAACACCGGUGGCGAAGGCGGCUACCUGGCACACAACUGACGCUGAGGCCCGAAAGCGUGGGGAUCAAACAGG